rnacentral:rRNA from 1 species
UACGUAGGUGGCAAGCGAUACUCGGAAUCACUAGGCGUAAAGCGCAGGUAGGCGGUUUGAUAAGUCUCUUGUGAAAGCUCCCGGCUUAACUGGGAGAGGUCAAGGGAAACUAUCAGGCUAGAGUGUGGUAGAGGAAGCUAGAAUUCCCGGUGUAGCGGUGAAAUGCGUAGAUAAUCGGGAGGAAUACCUAUGGCGAAAGCAGGCUUCUGGACCAUCACUGACGCUGAGCUGCGAAAGCUAGGGGAGCAAACAGG